rnacentral:rRNA from 1 species
UACGUAAGCAGCAAGCGUUGUUCGGAAUUACUGGGCGUAAAGAGUGUGUAGGCGGUGCUCUAAGUUCGGUGUGAAAUCUCCCGCUUAACUGGGAGGGUGCGCCGGAAACUGGAGUGCUCGAGCGUGGGAGAGGAAAGCGGAAUUCCUGGUGUAGCGGUGAAAUGCGUAGAUAUCAGGAGGAACACCUGCGGUGUAGACGGCUUUCUGGACCAUUGCUGACGCUGAGACACGAAAGCGUGGGUAGCAAACAGG